rnacentral:rRNA from 1 species
AUGAAGCUUAUUGCUUGGAACUGCCGGGGACUUGGCAACUCCCCAGCAGUUAGAGGUCUUUUGGACCUUCAGAAGGCAGAAGACCCAGACAUCUUGUUUCUAUCUGAAACAAAAUUGUGUAGUCAAAAGCUGCAGCAUUUUCGGUGGAGAUUGGGACUUACCAACAUGUGGGCUCGCAGCUGUGAUGGUAGAGGAAGUGGUGGAAUUGCAAUGUUUUGGAGAAGUGGUCUAGAUGUGGAGCUAAAUACAGUGGCUCUGGCAUAG